rnacentral:rRNA from 1 species
AGUGAACGCUGGCGGUAGGCCUAACACAUGCAAGUCGAACGGCAGCACAGUAAGAGCUUGCUCUUACGGGUGGCGAGUGGCGGACGGGUGAGGAAUACAUUGGAAUCUACUUUUUCGUGGGGGAUAACGUAGGGAAACAUACGCUAAUACCGCAUACGACCUACGGGUGAAUGCAGGAGAUCUUCCGACGUUGCGUGAGUGAAUGAGCCGAUGUCGGUUUAGUUAGUUGGCGGGCUAACGGCCCACCAAGGCGACGAUGCGUAGCCGGUCUGAGGGGAGGAAGAGGCACUGUGGGAGUGAGACACGGUACAGACACUGACGGGAGGCAGCGGCGGGGAAGAGUGGACGCUGGGCGGAAGCCUGAUCCAGGCAUACCGCGUGGGUGCAGAAGGGCUUCGGGUUGUAAAGCCCUUUUGUUGGUGAAGAAAAGCAGCGGGAUAAUACCCGGCUGUUCUGACGGUACCCAAAGAAGAAGCACCGGCUAACUUCGUG